CCUGGGCAACAAGAAUGAAACUCUGUCUCAAAAAAAAAAAAAAAGAACAGAGGGCUCUUGCCUGGGCUUGCUCAGAAAAUCCCCACUUCAGAGGAGGGUGCAGCUGUCGCUCCAGCUUCCUGGUUAUGCAUCCCUUGUCAAAUCAGCAGGAAGUUUAAUUCUAUUAAAUAUUAACCCUUGUCCUGAAGGCCUCGGUUGCUUUAGUAGAGAGAAUUGAGGGUAGAAGGUGAAAGAAAAGAGAAAGGGAAAGAGCAUGUAGAAGGCAAACAGAAGGAGAGACAUGAAGUCAGGGAGGAUCAGAAGAUAGAGGGAAGAGAAUAUGAGGGAGAGGAUCGCAAUUCAGCAGGGGUCUCUUCACACGGACAUGUGGGACAUUUGGUGCCGAAAACCCGGGUCAGUGGAACUUCUUCAGGAGACCCUGUCCUCACCCUCACUCCGUGAAGAGAUCCACCUACGACCUCGGGUCCUCAGACCAACCAGCCCAAGGAACAUCUCACCGAUUUUAAAUCGGAUCUUCUCAGCUUAGCGGCUGAAGACUGACACUGCCCAAUCGCCUCAGAAGCCUACAGGACCAUCACAGACAUUUUGGAUAACUCUUACAGUGGAGGGUAAGUCCGUCCCCUUCUUAAUCAAUACAGAGGCUACCCACUCCACAUUACCUUCUUUUCAAGGGCCUGUUUCCCUUGCCCCCAUAACUGUUGUGGGUACUGACGACCAAGCUUCAAAACCCUUUAAAACUCCCCAACUCUGGUGCCAACUUGGACAACAUUCUUUAAUGCACUCCUUUUUAGUUCUCCCCACCUGCCCAGCUCCCAAGACAUUUUAACUAAAUUACCUGUUUCCUUUACUAUUCCUGGGCUACAUCUACACCUCGGUGCUACCUUUUGCCCCAGUUCAAAGCCUCCUUCACAUCCUCUCCUUGUAUCUCCCCACCUUAAACCACAAGUAUAGGAUACCUCUACUCCGUCCUUAGCGACCGAUCAUGCACCCCUCACCAUCCCAUUAAAACCUAAUCACUCUUACCCUGUUCAACGCCAAUAUCCCAUCCCACAGCACACUUUAAAAGGAUUAAAGCCUGUUAUCACUCGCCUGUUACAGCAUGGCCUUUUAAAGCCUGUAAACUCUCCUUAAAAUCCCCCAAAUUUUACCUGUCCAAAAACCGGACAAGCCUUAUAGGUUAGUUCAGGAUCUGUACUUUAUCAACCAAAUUGUUUGCCUAUCCACCCCAUGGUGCCAAAGCCAUAAUACUCUCAUAUCCUCAAUACCUCCCUCCACAACCCCUCCAUAACCCAUUAUUCUCUUCUGGAUCUCAAACACGCUUUCUUUACUAUUCCUUGCACCCUUCAUCCCAGCCUCUCUUUGCUUUCACUUGGACUGACCCUGACACCCAUCAGGCUCAGCAAAUUACCUGGGCUAUACUGCUGCAAGGCUUCACGGACAUUCCCCAUCACUUCAGUCAAGCCCAAAUUUCUUCCUCAUCCAUUACGUAUCUCGACACAAUUCUUCAUAAAAACACACAUGCUCUCCCUGCUAAUCAUGUCUGGCUAAUCUCCCAAACCUGAACCCCUUCUACAAAACAACAAUUCCUUUCCUUCCUAGGCAUGGUUAGGUACUUCCACCUUUGGAUACCCAUUUUUGCCACCCUGAAUAAACUAUAAUGUAAACUCACAAAAGCAAACCUAGCUGACCCCAUAGAUCCUAAAUCCUUUCACCACUCCUCAUUCCGUUCCUUAAAAACAGCCCUAGAAGUUGCCCCUCGCUGGCUCUCCCUAACUCAUCCCAACCCUUUCCAUUACACACAGCCAAAGUACAGGGCUGUGCGGUCAAUAUCUUACACAAGAGCCAGGACCACGCCCUGUAGCCUUUCUGUCCAAACAAUUUAACCUUACCGUUUUAGGCUGGCCCCCACUCCCAUGACUGUAUCUCUCUGAUCCACCUGACAUUCACUCCAUUUUCCCGUAUUUCCUUCUUUUGUGUUCCUCACCCUAAUCACACUUGGUUUAUCGAUGGCAGUUCCACCAGGCCUAAUCACCACACACCAGCAAAGGCAGGCUAUGCUAUAGUAUCUUCUGCAUCUAUGAUUAAGCCUGCCCUGCUCCACUACCUCUCAGCAAGCUGAACUCAUUGCCUUAACUUGGGCCCUCACUCUUGCAAAGGGACUACGUGUCAAUAUACUGACCCCAUAUCCUUCACCACUAUGCUGUUUUAUGGGCUGAAAGCUUUCCUCACUACACAAGGGUCCUCCAUCAUUAAUGCAUCUUUAAUAAAAACUCUUCUCAAG